GUCUCUGUCCAUCCACACACAAGGACGUUGGCUCAAUAUGUAAUAACCAUGAGCCAGAGUUGGUUUUGGGGGGAAAGAAAUCAAAGGUGCUGGCAGAGCGAGCAGGCAUUUUCCUGAGGGUGAGGUGCACACAGGGACUUGGCCCACGUUCUUGCCCUGGGAGAAAUUGCUCCCAAGAGCUGAGGGAGUGGAAAGAGAAGGACUCCUUAGACCCGCGGCCUCAGUUAUCUUCAUCUGUGAAAUGUGAAUAAUGGCGACACCUACUGGAAAUACUGCUGUGAGGAGUUCUUGUAAGGGCAAAUGCCUGGAGUGUGUGCAGGCACUCGAUAGUCAUCAAAUCCAGCCCCUGGCAACAGUAGAAAACUGUGCUCCCACUCCAAUGACUUCUGCAGCUGCCAUUCUCCUGUUUCCUUUGCCUGGGAUGUCCUCUAGCCAGCCUCCUCUAUCUGGUGAACUCCCAGACCUUCUCCAAGACCCAGCUCCAAUGGCACCCCCUCUGAGAGGCCAGCCUGGAUCCUUCCAGGAACAUGGAAGUGCAGGAUGACACCAUGUGACGCUGUAUACUAAUAGAGAAUCAUAAAAUUGUCUGCCAGCCUAACAGCCACGCUGUGGAAUCGGGCAGCCUCGCAUGUACAUCCCGGUCCCACCACUUACUGCCUAGGUGACCUUGAACAAGUUACUUCAUCACUC